rnacentral:rRNA from 1 species
GACAGAGGUCCCAAGCGUUGUUCGGAUUUACUGGGCGUAAAGGGUGCGUAGGCGGUUGGGUAAGUCUGGCGUGAAAUCUCCGGGCCUAACCCGGAAACUGCGUUGGAUACUACCUAGCUAGAGGAAUGGAGGGGAGACUGGAAUACUUGGUGUAGCAGUGAAAUGCGUAGAUAUCAAGUGGAACACCAGUGGCGAAGGCGAGUCUCUGGACAUUUCCUGACGCUGAGGCACGAAAGCCAGGGGAGCAAACGGG